rnacentral:rRNA from 1 species
CUAACAGGAUUCCCCUAGUAACUGCGAGUGAAGCGGGAAAAGCUCAAAUUUAAAAUCUGGUGGUCUUUGGCCAUCCGAGUUGUAAUCUAGAGAAGUGUUACCCGCGCUGGACCGUGUACAAGUCUCCUGGAAUGGAGCGUCAUAGAGGGUGAGAAUCCCGUCUUUGACACGGACUGCCAGGGCUUUGUGGUGCGCUCUCAAAGAGUCGAGUUGUUUGGGAAUGCAGCUCAAAAUGGGUGGUAAAUUCCAUCUAAAGCUAAAUAUUGGCGAGAGACCGAUAGCGAACAAGUACCGUGAGGGAAAGAUGAAAAGAACUUUGGAAAGAGAGUUAAACAGUACGUGAAAUUGCUGAAAGGGAAACGCUUGAAGUCAGUCGCGUUGGCCGGGAAUCAACCUUGCUUUUGCUGGGCGUACUUUCCGGUCGACGGGUCAGCAUCAGUUUUGACCAUUGGAAAAAGUCUAGAGGAAUGUGGCAUCUCCGGAUGUGUUAUAGCCUCUGGUCGCAUACGAUGGUUGGGACUGAGGAACUCAGCACGCCGCAAGGCCGGGUACUUGUACCACGUUCGUGCUUAGGAUGCUGGCAUAAUGGCUUUAAUCGACCCGUCUUGAAACACGGACCAAGGAGUCUAACAUGCCUGCGAGUGUUUGGGUGGAAAACCCGAGCGCGUAAUGAAAGUGAAAGUUGAGAUCCCUGUCGUGGGGAGCAUCGACGCCCGGACCAGACGUUUUCUGACGGAUCCGCGGUAGAGCAUGUAUGUUGGGACCCGAAAGAUGGUGAACUAUGCCUGAAUAGGGUGAAGCCAGAGGAAACUCUGGUGGAGGCUCGUAGCGAUUCUGACGUGCAAAUCGAUCGUCAAAUUUGGGUAUAGGGGCGAAAGACUAAUCGAAACAUCUAGUAGCUGGUUCUGCA